AUUGAACGCUGGCGGCAUGCCUUACACAUGCAAGUCGAACGGCAGCACGGGAGCUUGCUCCUGGUGGCGAGUGGCGAACGGGUGAGUAAUACAUCGGAACGUACCCAGGAGUGGGGGAUAACGUAGCGAAAGCUACGCUAAUACCGCAUAUUCUGUGAGCAGGAAAGCGGGGGAUCGCAAGACCUCGCGCUCUUGGAGCGGCCGAUGUCGGAUUAGCUAGUUGGUGAGGUAAAAGCUCACCAAGGCGACGAUCCGUAGCAGGUCUGAGAGGAUGAUCUGCCACACUGGGACUGAGACACGGCCCAGACUCCUACGGGAGGCAGCAGUGGGGAAUUUUGGACAACGGGGGCAACCCUGAUCCAGCCAUGCCGCGUGAGUGAAGAAGGCCUUCGGGUUGUAAAGCUCUUUCAGCGGGGAAGAAAUGGCAACGGCUAAUAUCCGUUGAUGAUGACGGUACCCGCAUAAGAAGCACCGGCUAACUACGUGCCAGCCGCCGCCGUAA
rnacentral:rRNA from 1 species